CAUACGACCGUACCGCAAACCGACACUGGUGCGCGAGAUGAGUAUUCUAAGGCGCUUGAGAGAACUCAGGAGAAGGAACUCGGCAAAUUGACACCGUAACUUCGGAAGAAGGUGUGCCCUAUUAGUGUGUAGUGAACAACGAAGCAUGAAUGGGUUGCAAAAAAUCGGUGGCUGCGACUGUUUAUUAAAAACACAGCACUCUGCAAACACGAAAGUGGACGUAUAGGGUGUGACGCCUGCCCGGUGCUGGAAGAUUAAAUGAUGGGGUGCAAGCUCUUGAUUGAAGUCCCAGUAAACGGCGGCCGUAACGAUAACGGUCCUAAGGUAGCGAAAUUCCUUGUCGGGUAAGUUCCGACCUGCACGAAUGGCGUAACGAUGGCCACACUGUCUCCUCCUGAGACUCAGCGAAGUUGAAAUGUUUGUGAUGAUGCAAUCUCCCCGCGGAAAGACGGAAAGACCCCAUGAACCUUUACUGUAGCUUUGUAUUGGACUUUGAACAGAUCUGUGUAGGAUAGGUGGGAGGCUUUGAAGCAGGGUCGCUAGAUCUUGUGGAGCCAACGUUGAAAUACCACCCUGGUGUGUUUGAGGUUCUAACCUAGGUCCAUUAUCUGGAUCGGGGACAGUGCAUGGUAGGCAGUUUGACUGGGGCGGUCUCCUCCCAAAGCGUAACGGAGGAGUUCGAAGGUACGCUAGUUACGGUCGGACAUCGUGACGAUAGUGCAAUGGCAUAAGCGUGCUUAACUGCGAGACUGACAAGUCGAGCAGAUGCGAAAGCAGGACAUAGUGAUCCGGUGGUUCUGUAUGGAAGGGCCAUCGCUCAACGGAUAAAAGGUACUCUGGGGAUAACAGGCUGAUACCGCCCAAGAGUUCAUAUCGACGGCGGUGUUUGGCACCUCGAUGUCGGCUCAUCUCAUCCUGGGGCUGUAGCCGGUCCCAAGGGUAUGGCUGUUCGCCAUUUAAAGAGGUACGUGAGCUGGGUUUAAAACGUCGUGAGACAGUUUGGUCCCUAUCUUCCGUGGGCGCUGCAGAUUUGAGGAAGCCUGCUCCUAGUACGAGAGGACCGGAGUGGACACACCUCUGGUGUAUCGGUUGUCACGCCAGUGGCAUUGCCGAGUAGCUAAGUGUGGAAGAGAUAACCGCUGAAAGCAUCUAAGCGGGAAACUCGUUUCAAGAUGAGAUCUGCCGGGGCCUUGAGCCCCCUAAAGAGUCGUUCAAGACCAGGACGUUGAUAGGUCAGGUGUGGAAGCUA
rnacentral:rRNA from 1 species